CGCCCAGUGGUGCCGCCUUGGCCGACCUGGCACCGACCCGGCCCUACAUCUGGUACCUCACCCUGAUGAAGUGACCUGGGCGAGGAUGGACCAAGGCCUUUCAACGCUGUCUCCAAAUGACGUAACUACAAAGACAACAGCCCCGCUAGUUCCAACAAGUACCGCUGGUUCUUCCUCCGCCGGGUCGUGCCUGACCAUCUGCGACCCGCAAGAUUCCAGCGGGUGGGGCAUCAACUACGCCUAUGUCGGAUGCCCCUUCUUCGACAAGUGCAGUGCCACGGGAGUCGACCGCAUGCUCUG